CAUGAAUCUUUAGUCUCAGAAACAAAUAACCAUGGACAAGUCAAGAGUUUGAUGUUUUUCUAUCAAUUUCUAUCAAUAUAGAGUUUACAUAAAAGUGAAUUUAGACUGACUGGAGAGAAAACAAAUUAUUCUCACAAGAGAAAAAUCAAAAAAAGAUAGCUUUGCUAAAAACUGAUAGAUAUAUUGGAUUUACUGCAGAUAGCAGUUCAGGAAAUGGAACAAGAAAGAUGGUUAAGAACCACAACAGUUCCCUUACAAAGAAGGUUAAUAGUAUUUAAAAUAAGAAAUAGAAGACUUGAAGAAAUGUUUGAAAGCUUCCAAUCUUUCUAUAUUGAUGAUGUCUAGGUAUAUGAAAGCACAUAGAAACCUCCUGAUAUUAGUAGAUAAAGGCUGCUUGCUGUGGAUCUGCCAUAUUGAGUUGAACAGGCAUUGGACCUAUCGCAGUUAUGUGGUAAUGACGUGUAAGAAUGGCAGAGUGAGAAUUCUCCAACUCAAUGACAGAGAACAGCAACACUUUAAUCAAACAUGGAUCUUUGUUGACAGAGAGAAAAUAAAAUAUUAACAUAAAAGGCAUACAAGGCCACUGAAGGAUAAAUACCUGAAUAAGGAAAAUGAACAGAAAAAAAAGGUGACUUAAUUUUAUGAUAACGAUGCACUAGUCUUUAGUCCAAACACUAAAUGUUGAAAUAGUAUUCUCAAAUAUCAGAAUAUUCACAGAUGUUGAGAUGUGGGAGUCUUCUAAUAUGGAUACAUAUAGGUAUAUCAUCAUUUCAGCAGGAGAGAAAUAAUCCUCAUCUCAUUCUUGGGCACUGUUUCCAAAUCUUGGGAGUUGUUUGCCCAAAAUGGGGCUUUCAGAGCAACCUGGUUAGCAUCUGUCUGUCUUCUUCUCACUGUAGUUGGAGAUCAACUCUUUCAGAGAAUAGAUGACUGAUGACUGUUUCGUCAAUUGCUGACAGAGAUAGGCAACCAAAUGCUGUGUCUUGCUCUCUCUGUGGUUGGAAAUCAAUUCCUUGACUUUUCUCCCAAUCGUCUAUCUAAUACUCUUGUUUUUCCCCAGUUACAUUUCUAUCUCUCAUCCUCACAGCACCUGCGUGUCAUUCAACUCUUUUCAGUCAUCAUAAUUCUCAUCUGUUUAUUAUUAUUAUUUUGUGGAGGACAGAAUAUUCUGAUCCCGCUGUAAUGAUAAACAAAGUGGUUGUUUGUUGCUCCAAGAUGUC
rnacentral:lncRNA from 1 species